CGAAGCUCCCUGUUUCUCUAGGUUCACCUGAGAUUUAUCUGGUCUUUCAGGGCUUAAAAGGGAGACAUUCCCAAAGAAGAUUCCGUGGGAAGUCUCCUACAAGCCCCGAAGGAAGGGAAUCUCUCUCCUCAUACCUUGAGUUUCCUGAGUACAAUUAUUAUAGAUAUACGAAGAUCUCUGUGCUCAUGGAGAAUUUGUGUCAAGGGAUUUGUACAGCCCUGUAGGAGACACCUCCAGAGAAAGUAACAGCUCUCAAUUGAUUAGCUGAGGAGACCGAUUUUGUAAAUCACUACUUUUCUAACAACACUGGCACAGAUGGCCAAGCAUUCUCCCUUUUCUCAGAGCUGGUUUUCCAUCCCGGAAAGAGGUCUUACAUAUACAAAGUUACUCUAAUCAGUUGU
rnacentral:lncRNA from 1 species